AUUGCUUCUUGGCCUUUUGGUUCAGAUCAAGUGUAGUAUCUGUUCUCAUCAGUUUAAUAUCUGAUACGUCCCCUAUCCGGUGACUACAUAUUAAAUAGAUUUUUGGAACUGGAAGAUGGAAUAGGGGCUUGCUCCGUCCACUCCACGCAUCAACCAGGUAUUGCAGUACCUUAAGGAACAGUGCACCCCUA
rnacentral:snRNA from 1 species